CGGGGAGGGAUAGCAGAGAUAUACCUAAUGUUAAAUGAGUUACUGGGUGCAGCACAGCAACAUGGCGCAUGUAUACAUAGGUAACUAAACUGCACGUUGUGCACAUGUACCCUAAAACUUAAAGUAUAAUAAAAAAAAAGAAUAAAGAAAAAAGAUUUUAAACAGUUGGUUCUCCAGAAAAUAGCAUGUGGAUGUGUCCUCUCAGAUUCUUUGUGAAGCCAGUCAACUCUGUAAGU
rnacentral:lncRNA from 1 species